rnacentral:lncRNA from 10 species
CAGGGAGAGUGGUGCAAGCCUCCUGAAGGAAGCCAAGGAGCAAGCCUCCAACUUGUCUCUGGUGUAAUUUGAAGAAAGUCUCCUGAUCUUGUGUUGAACGACAGCACCAAGCAGAAAACCAGAUAGGAGUUCUGACCAAAGUCCAGGCAUCAGGCCUGAAUAACAUAAUGCCUGUAGGAUCAGGCAGAAACAUCUUGUGAUUACUGAAUAGGAGGAUGGGAGACUGGGACUGUCAGAAGCCAUCCUAUCAGCUUUAUGGAGAGAGCCUGCAUCCAGUUGUGACUGUUCAACCUCGAGAUUUUCAAGAUGCAGAAGAACUUUGCUUAGUAAGUCAUUAGCAGCAAAAUGGAAUUCCAAUCUUAUAACUCUUUGCCCAGCAGAUGUCUCACAUUAUUUCCUAAGAAAUCCUGACAGUAUUUCAUCUUGCCACCUUCUAGACUCUCCUCUCUUCCCCAUACUCUUUCCAAUGCUUAAAAGGGAAGAUCCCCCUUCUCAGCCUCUCAUGUUCCCCUUAUUUACAACCUCAGGCUCCAUCUCCAAUGUUAUCUCUAGAUUGAGAGAUUUUCAAUGGGGCUUAUUCUUCCCAUGUUUUCCUACCUGUAUUAAACACCUCCUAAGAUGGCUUGUAAUCUCCUCCUCUUGCAAGUGGGCUGGACAUUAACUGCUAGCAAAUAGAGCAUAGGGCACUUCCAAGAUUAAGUUACAAAAAUGUUCUGAUUUCUGAUGUGCUUGCCCUCUGAUGGACACCAGAUGCCAUGUUGUUAGCUGCCCCGUGGAGAGGCUCACAUUGCAAGGAACUGCAGCUGGACUCUGGCCAACAAUCUACAAGAAAACUAAGCCCUGCCAAUAACCACAGGAAUGACCAUGGAAGUAGAUACUCCUCCAGAUGAGCCCUGAGAUUUCUGCAGCCCAGCUGACAUCUUGAUUGCAGUCUGUGAGAGACCUUAAAGCAGAGCAUCCAGCUAAGUCAUGGCCAGAUUCCUGACACGACACAAACUGUGAGAUAAUAAAUAUUGUUGUUUUAAG